CUAGACUCAAUAAAACAUGUAGAAAAUAAAUGACGUCAUGACUGGGCUGCUGAGGGUCAUAUCAAUAUUUAAUUAAAAAAAUGAGUUGAAUGUUUUCAGUAAGAACAGGAAGCAGCCGGAGCUGCAGGUGUCAUUAUGCUGAUCCUCCGGACCGGACCGGACCGGACCGGCUGCCAUCCUCAGCCGCUGCCUUUGAAUUUCCAGAUUUGAUUGAGGCGCCGCGACUCAUUUCUAAAUUACUGCAGCUGCAUGUCCUCGGCGGGACCCGGACCCAGCGGUCCGUGAAGCCAGCAGGCUGAUUGAACCGGAGCAGAGAGCAGGAGGCGGCGACCCAAUCACCGACAGAACCGACCCAGAGCCUGACCCGGUCCGGGUCGUUCAUCCAGAAACAACGGUGGCCGAGCCGGCCCACAGAGGACCGAGCAAUUUAAAGCCCAGCAGCUGGAAGCCGUCCAUCAGCGGCGCUGCAGUCCGGUCGGCCUGCAGCUGUUCUUCACGGUGACCCCGGUGACCCCGGACAGGAUGGAGCGGCAGAGAAAUGGAGGAAUAAAUAUUGAGUGAAGGAUCAGAACUGCAGCAGAUGCUCCGAACGCCGGAGGGAAAAACGGCGACAGGAAAAGACGCCUGAAGGCAGCUGGUGGUUCAACGACACCUGAACAGUUUUCAAAAAUGUUUUUUCUGUUCAGGAUUUAUUACACAAAGUAUCACAAUACUAUAUUCUGAACUUUUCAAAUUCUGCAUCU